rnacentral:rRNA from 1 species
UUCCGGAUGAUCCUGCCGGAGGUUACUGCUAUCGAGGUUCGACUAAGCCAUGCGAGUCGAAUGUAGCAAUACAUGGCGAACUGCUCAGUAACACGUGGACAACCUGCCCUUAGGACGGGGAUAAACCCGGGAAACUGGGUAUAAUACCCGAUAGGUCUCGAUUGCUGGAAUGCAUCGAGAUUUAAAGCUCCGGCGCCUAAGGAUGGGUCUGCGGCCUAUCAGGUAGUAGUGGGUGUAGCGUACCUACUAGCCUACGACGGGUACGGGUUGUGAGAGCAAGAACCCGGAGAUGGAUUCUGAGACACGAAUCCAGGCCCUACGGGGUGCAGCAGGCGCGAAAACUUUACAAUGCUGGCAACAGCGAUAAGGGAACCUCGAGUGCCAGGUUACAAAUCUGGCUGUCGAGAUGCCUAAAAAGCAUUUCAUAGCAAGGGCCGGGCAAGACCGGUGCCAGCCGCCGCGGUAACACCGGCGGCUCGAGUGGUAACCGUUAUUAUUGGGUCUAAAGGGUCUGUAGCCGGCCGGAUAAAUCUCUUGGGAAAUC